UACGGAGGGUGCAAGCGUUAUCCGGAUUCACUGGGUUUAAAGGGUGUGUAGGUGGGUUGGUAAGUCAGUGGUGAAAUCUCCGUGCUUAACAUGGAAACUGCCAUUGAUACUACUGAUCUUGAAUUUUCUGGAGGUAAGCGGAAUAUGUCAUGUAGCGGUGAAAUGCUUAGAUAUGACAUAGAACACCAAUUGCGAAGGCAGCUUGCUACAGGGAUAUUGACACUGAGGCACGAAAGCGUGGGGAGCAAACAGG
rnacentral:rRNA from 1 species